UACUGAUAAGCAGUCUACAACACUGUUGUAGUACGGGCUACGCCCACAAUGUAUAAAAAGCCGAACAAUAAACGAACGAGGCAUUCCAGGCAGCUACGCUGAUAACGUACGGUAGCGGUUAUUACACGGUGUCAGAAGAGGGAUUUGUUGCAGCAUGGGUACUCUCCGGCCGCCUGACGGGCUGGUGCUUUCUGGCAACCUUCAAGCAAAGACUGGAGCUGUACCUGGAAGCAACCGAGACUGGCAGGCCUACAGGACAGCGGAAAAGCUGUAAUACUCCUGCACGUCGCCUGCCGGAAGCCGUCGAAGUCUACAAUACCUUUACGUCGUCCAACGAGUACAGAGGUAACUACGACGUCCUGGCGAAGAAAUUUGGGGAAUACUGCACACCGAAGUGCAAUGAGACGUAUCAGUGCUACAUUUUCGAGUCAAGGAUGCAAGCUGAAGGACUGCUAAAUUAUAGGUCGGCUCUCCUUGAAGACUGACAAUCUUCGAUUGAGAUAUUGAUGGGUCACGCCUACCCGACUACAGUGGAGAUCGCCAAGUCCAUGUCAAGAACCAGGAGCAAAAGGGUUCUCCGCUCCUGCCACUAGCAAAGGGAGAUGUGGUGCGAGUUCUACGAGACUCUUCCUGUGGGUCACUAAAGCGAGGGUUCUAAUCUGCGUAGCACCAACAUCCUACCCGGUCGUCUCCGAAGAUGAUCGUGAGAUGCGCCGUAACCGUAAACCCAAGGCACUCAAAGCUCUCUCCACGCUUCCUACGACAGACCACCAACAGGACUCAAAGACAACAUCGAAGACGAAGAGCACCUCGGACGUUCUACUUCUCAAGCGCCACAGCUCUGACGGUCGACAAGGACAAGACGGACACCGGAUCGACUUGCAUACACUUGCAUGUGAUGAAGCGAACUUUUAACGUUAGGUUACCUGUAUGUACUUUGUUCACGUUAUGAACUGCGUUAAUUUGUAAUUCGUAUAUAUACUUAGACUUUUUUGAAACAAAAAGGGGGAAGGGAGAUGUAUUGGUAUGCGCUGAUACGCAGCGGGCUGAUACGGCCUAAAACACUGUUGUACGGGCUACGCUCACAAUGUAUAAAAAGCCGAACGGCAUUCCGGGCUUCUUCCAGGCAGCUACGCUGAUAACGUACGGUAAACAGUUAUUACAGCUGCCAUGCGCAAGGCGGUAAGUUGCAGCAAAAUGAACAGAAAACGUGUGUGCGUUCAUGUGAGAACAUUCUCAAUGGCCUGUAAAGCUACCUCCUCUGCAUUGUAACGCAACAUGCGGUGAAGCUAGCCGCAUGAGACAGCACUGUGCGACUCGUUCGCACACUGCAGAAUAAAUUACAUUUCAGACAUCAAGAUGGAGACGCACCAUGCGUCAAUAUCAGUACAUAAAUCGCUAAUCAAUCACUAUCUGAAAAGGUAAUACCGCGUGUCAUAACUUCGUAUCGAAUGCAUCGUGCAUGCAGCGUGGAAUACUUAACACAGAACCAGCUCUAACAAUAGCUUCGCAACAGAUGACCCACUUGAAAUCACGAAAGACACAUGGCAGAGGAGAAACAAUUCUAGGUAUCACUGCAUACACAACAUUGUUGGCAGCCCAGCAACACUUCCGCCAGGGUGACUGCGCGUUCCUUUCUCCGACCCAGAUUACAAAGAGGGAGACUACAACUCAGUGUUUCCACAACCCCUAAAUUCCACGAAGCCUUUCCACUAUAAACACAUCCAGCCGGCAGACGAUAAAUCAGUCCAAUUCUGCCAAACGGCAGACACCGAGCGCCGUGAUGCUGGCGCCAUCUAGACGACACGUUGGGAACCCCCAGAGCCGCCGCCGACGCAUUCCACCACCUUCUAUCGCACCGAAAGCGGGCUCACCUCACAACCGCAAUGCCGAGAAGAGGACAAACGAGAGAAAGAGAAUAAAGAAAAGCUCACAUCA